rnacentral:snoRNA from 1 species
GCCUUUGCAGCUGAUAAUUCAUUCCUCAUCAGAUCGGCUCUGUUGAUCUCUGUCUACACUGUUGGCCAGUUUUGUCUGAUGCAUUGGC